AGUGAACGCUGGCGGUAGGCCUAGCACAUGCAAGUCGAACGGCAGCACAGUAAGAGCUUGCUCUUACGGGUGGCGAGUGGCGGACGGGUGAGGAAUACAUCGGAAUCUACUUUUUCGUGGGGGAUAACGUAGGGAAACUUACGCUAAUACCGCAUACGACCUACGGGUGAAAGCAGGGGAUCUUCGGACCUUGCGCGAUUGAAUGAACCGAUGUCGGAUUAGCUAGUUGGCGGGGUAAAGGCCCACCAAGGCGACGAUCCGUAGCUGGUCUGAGAGGAUGAUCAGCCACACUGGAACUGAGACACGGUCCAGACUCCUACGGGAGGCAGCAGUGGGGAAUAUUGGACAAUGGGCGCAAGCCUGAUCCAGCCAUACCGCGUGGGUGAAGAAGGCCUUCGGGUUGUAAAGCCCUUUUGUUGGGAAAGAAAAGCAGCAGGUUAAUACCCCGCUGUUCUGACGGUACCCAAAGAAUAAGCACCGGCUAACUUCGUG
rnacentral:rRNA from 1 species